rnacentral:lncRNA from 1 species
AGAACAAAAAAUAAAAAUAUAGAGAUGAAGUAGAGACGAGAAAGGAGAAAGAUUUAGAUUUAAUGUGGAAACCUGAAAUGCAAAAUAUGAGGUGUGAAGAUCACUAUCAUAGAAGAAAAUAAUAUGAGCUAAAAUGGAGAAAAAAAUAAAAACAGAGUAGAAAUGACUGAUUCUUUCUAAGUAACUGUUGGGGAAGUCU